GCAAUGAGCUAAGAUUAUGCCUGUGAAUAGCCACUGCACUCUAGCCUGGGUGACAGAGCAAGACCCUGUCUGAAAAAAAAAAAAAAAAAAAAAAAGACAGGUUUAAGUAACUCCCCACCCCCAGGUGCUGGGGUUAGUGAUGUGUCUGGGCUUGAAUGGCUCUGUCCAUUUGGUGCUGUGUUCACUGAGCCAAGUUGAGUGCGGGGUCCUGUGCUGGGCCCUGGGAUUCGGGGAUGGGUAAGUGACUUCCCUGCUAUGCAGGAUUUGAUUUAUGUUCCUCCUGGAUGUCUGCAGUGCCACCCACCCCUGCCUUUGCUGCUUUGCUGCCGAAGACCCCCAGGCUGUUUUGGCCUUGGUGGGGCGAGGGCUGGGCUGCUGCGUGUCUUCCAGGUUUCAGAUUGAGAAGAAGGCCACAUUGAGGGGCAUGGGGUGGACUGACUGGGAAAGCUAAUUAGCAUCCUUUGGGGCAAAGUACAACUAUGGGGCAAAAUACAACUAAGGACAGGAAGGAGCUGAGGAAUAAAUGCCUCUCCCCGACUUCCCUGAUGUGGGCUUCUGAGACCAUGGCUCAUGGAGAUGGGCCGCAUGGCUGAGCAUCAGCUGGGUUUUCUUCUGAAGCCAUAGCCAGCUCAUGCACCUGCCUCACCUCCCUUCCCCUCCCUGUUGCUAGUCUAGGGUGCCCUCCCCUCAACCCCAAACCCCUGCCAAAGAAAAGGCAUCAGCAGUGAACUUUGUCCUGGCUCUGUUUUGCAGGGAACCUGGGCCAGAAUCAUGGUCCCCAAAGAUUACCAUGUGAUAAUGCCUGGAGCCAUUGACUAUCAUCUUACAUGGCAAAGGGACAUGGUGGGUGUAGUUAGUGACCUUGCAAUGAGGAGGUCAUCCUGGAUGAUCCAGGUGGGCCCAGUGUGUUCGCUAGUGUCUGUAUAAGAGGGACAUGGGGAGCUUUGACUGCCCAUGAACAUGGCAGCUUGACCCUGGAGGCAAGGUGGUAGCUUCUGGCUCUGAAGAUGGAAGAAGGGGCCAUGCACUAAUGGAUGCAGGCGGCCUCUGCCUCUAGAAGUGGAAAAGACAAAGAAAUGGAUUCUCCACUAGAGAACCCAGAAGGAACCCUGGAGCCUCCAGAAGGAACCAGCCCUGCUGACACCUGGAUUUUAGCCCAGUGGAACAGAUUUUGGACUUUGACCUCUAGGACUGCAAGAGAAUCCACUGAGCCAUUGGAAGCCCCUGGAUUUGUGUUAAUUUGUUACAGCAGCCACAAGCAACUAACACCAUCCCGUUCUCCAGGCUGCUGCCUCCAGCUGCAGCUGGCGUGCCCUGGCCACUGGGGCCAGGAAGGGUGGGUUUUGGUACCUGCAGCGGCAGCAUCCUUGGCCAUUUCCUGGAAGGGCCAGUUGCCAGACACUGAGAUGCCUGUUACUGCAACUGUCCCACCAGCCUGGAGCACGUGUUUCUGGAGACAGGCAAAUUCUGGAAGGCUCCACCUGCUCUCAGACUACAGGUUGCGUCUCAAAGCAGGCUGGCAGACGUUUUCCACUCUUGAUCAAUCAUUUUCCAAAAUAAGCAUAGACACAGCAACCCGGAGAGCAGCUUCGGUUUGGCUGUCAGUGGCGUGUUAGUUACUGUAGUGGUGGCACAGAGGCGAAUACGUUAAAUAUUAGUUCUCACUGACUAUAGCUUUUUAAACAGAGCAGCGUGUGGGUGGCAGCAGGUGAGUUGGCUAUGCUGAGCUUGGGCUGCCCUUGGUUGAUUCUUGUUUGUCAGGCAUGCAGGGGGCUCUCUGUGCGUCCAGGCAUUUUCCCUGUCUGGAUUUGCUUGUGUUCAUGGAUUUUCAGCACCUCCUUUCUUCUGGUUUGGGAAUGAGUCAGGUCCUCACUACACAAGGCCAGAGCAGUAUGCGUGUGUGGGUAGGGGUGAGCAGGUGUCAUUCCCUGCCUCCCCUCCUCCUUCACUGCCCCAGCCACCCUGACCACCUUGCUGUUCCGAGGACACACUUAGCCAGUGCCCACUGGGCAUCAGGUGAAAGGGGACAUCCCACAAGCCCACCCUCACUUCUGACACCAAUGGCAAGUUCAGGAUCUCCAACACUGCCCUGAGGUUUGAUCAUUUGCUAGAGGGACUCCCAGAACCCACUUAAAGCUGUCACCCUCACAGUUACAGUUUCUGAUGGUGAAGGGAUACACAUGAAAAUCAGCCGAGGGAAGAGUUGCCCAGGGCAGAGUUGAACGCACCCACACAGCGCCUCCAUUGUCCUUUCACCAUGGGGUCAUAGGCAGCGUUACUUUCCCGGUGAUGUGGGACAAUGUGCAUGCAGUAUUGCCAGCUGGGGAAGUCGUCUGAGCCUCCGUGUCCAGAGUUUCUGCUGGAGCUCAUUUGCAUGGGUGUGGCUGACUGUCCACAUGGCUCAUCUGUCUCCAGCCCCUCCAGCAGCUGGCUGAUAGAGUGCAACCCAAAGCCCCCUCCCUGAAUCACAUAGUUACUCCCUGGCUGGCCCGAGGGCCCCAGGUAAGCAGAGGUACUUUAUCUGGCAGGGCAUUUCGGAGCUUAGGAGAUCACCUCCCAGGGGCUGAGGUCACAGGCCCAACCUUUCUGUGGGCAAGGUUAGGUUCAUUAUCACGUACCUGGUCUUUGGACUUUCAAAGGCCCAUGCCUGGAGCUGUCUUCAACACUUCUUUCAGUUUUCUCUCAAUGCUUCCUCCUUGGAGACGUAUUUCCUGCCCCUGUCACUCCAUCACUCUCCUCCUAACCCCAGUUACUUUUUCUUUGCUGGGCUUGCUGCUGCCUGGAGUCAUUUCCUAUUUACUAGUUUGUUUUUGGUCUUUCUCCUCCUCUAGAAUGUAAUCUUAUGCUGUGGGGGACCAUGACCAUUCUCUUCCCAGCUAAAUCCCCAGGGCUGGAGUCGUGCUGCACAUGCAGAGCUAAUUCAUCCUUGAUAGAUAGUAAGAGAACCGAUGGGGGUCUGUGUCAGCAGCACCAACAUGAGGUUCACACCAGCGUCUCCCAAGAUGGCAUGCGGCUUAGAGACAAGACAGAUGUGGUUGCUUUUUGUUGUUGUUGUUUUGUGUUGUUGUUUUGAGAUAGGGUCUUACUCUAUCACUCUAUCACCCAGGCUGGAGUGCAAUGGCAUGAUCUCAGCUUAUUGCAACCUCUGCCUCCCAGGCUCAAGUGAGUCUCCUGCCUCAGCCUCCCAAGUAAAUGGGAUUAUAGGUAUGCACCAUGAUGCCCGGCUAAUUUUUUGUAUUUUUAGUAGAGAGGGGGCUUCACCAUGUUGGCCAGGCUGGUCUCAAACUCCUGAUCUCAAGUGAUCUGCCUGUCUUGGCCUCCCAAAGAGCUGGGCUUACAGGCGUGAGCCAUUGCAUGCCCAGCCAGAUGUGUUUUUUUGUUUUUUUUGUUUUUUUUCUCUACCCCAAACCUGUGAGAUGGCAGGGAGGAGGCUCUGGGAAGAGGGGGUGAGGGUUGGGGUAAACCUGUGGAUUGGAUGCUGAUGUAGGUGGUCCCAGGUGCUCCCUUGGGAGGAGAUGGACAGUCCGGAUGGUGCAGAUAAAACACCUCCAUCCACAUUACCUGCGUAAUUCUCUUUGCUUUCCAGAACAUCCUUUGUGUACUGUGGACUGUGAUGAUCUAAUGCUAGUGGAUUACAUGUAAGUAGGCCUUAGUAGAAGCCACCUCCCAGUGGUUCCUCGGAGGCAUUUGGUCCAGAAGCAGAUGAUUUUAGUGCAAAGCACAGACCGUAUGCAGGCCUGAGCAGAUCAGGGGACAGACAGAUCUGGCUGACAUCCUGACCCGCUGGAUAUGGUGGUGUGGCCAUUGCUUGUAGCCACAUUGCAGUCUUGAAUGUCCCCCUUGGAAAUGGGGGACAUUUCCAAGGAUGCCUGCCUGGUCCUCUAGUUUUCUCUUUCUCUGUUCUCUGUCAUCUGCACUUUUUCCCUCUUGUCUUGAUUGCUUGUCCUGUCUCCCCUAGUAGAUACCCCCUCUGACCUCUGCUGCCUCAGGACUGUUGCUGUAUAAAAUAUUGUGAGCUGCCCUCUGCUCCUGUUUAAAAAAAAAAAAAAAAAAAUCCUUAGUUCUGGGUAAGCUAGGCACUGAGAAUGAGGCCAGUCAUUCAAAACUUGUCUCUGAGCAUUGAUUAUACUCAUGUAUUAUACUGUUAAGGGGUGAAGGUCGGCUCUAGGGUCAGCUUCCUGGAUUUAAAUCCCAACUCAGAUUAAAGUGGGAGAAUAAUAGCACCAACCUGACAACCUCAAAGUGUCAUUUGUAAGAAUAAUGUUAGAUCAUACACUUGAUCACCCGUUAGCAGUGUCAGGGCAGUGCUGGGAACAUGAGCAUGAACAGGGCAGCCCAGGAGGGAGUUGAAUGGACAGAUGGGCAAUGCCAGUUUGGAAGUGGGUGCAUGCAUCCGGUGGGUUCAGGAGCCUAGAAGACUUAUCCAAAAGUCAUCUUUGCUGGUGUUUCUUCCUGUGUAUUUUCUCUAACCUUCUCCAGCAGUGACCCGAAUUACUUAUGGGUGAACACUGAAUGCUGCCCAGGCAACUAGAGGUUUAUAGAUGAGAUACUUUAAAUUUUUAAUGAUUCUUAAAAGAGGGAGUGGCUAUUCUUAUGCUUUCCAGAAUGAAUAGCCAAGGGAAACCUAUACAGUUGCCAUGUAAGGAGAAACCUAGACCUGGCCUUAGCCUCUAGGUCCUGGUGCAGAUUCUUAGCACGUAGCGCCUAAAACCUUCCUGAGUGAUAGGAGCGUCUUUUGUUAUUCAUAAUGAGAUCUGGGUUUAUGCUAAUGAGGUGACUCAGGGUGGGGGCUGGCCCCAGAGUAACCAACACAGGAUUAGAGGGUUGGGGCUAUCAGUCCUACCCACCCCCAGCCUCUGGGUGGGGUGGAGAGGGGCUGGAGAGUGAAUCAAAUGACCAAUAGCCAAUGAUGUAAUCAGUCACACUUACAUAAUGAAUCCUCCGCAAAACCCAUCAACGGUGGGGUUCAGAGAGCUUUGGCGCUGGGAAACACACAUGGAGGUGCUGGAGGGGGACACGCAGGGAGAGGGCAUGGAAGCCCUGCCUCCCUCCCCGAAAACUCUGUCCUGUGCAGUGUUUCUUAUUAAUUACACUGUCCCUGAGUUCUUUUUUUUUUUUUGAGACGGAGUCUCACACUGUCGGCCAGGUUACAGUGCAGUGGUGCAAUCUCAGCUCACUGCAACCUCUGCCUCCCGGGUUCAAGCGAUUCUCCUGCCUCAGCCUCCCAAGUAGCUGGGAUUACAGGCGCCCGCCACUACGCCCAGCUAAUUUUUUGUAUUUUAGUAGACAUGGGGUUUGACCAUAUUGCCCUGGCUGGUUGCGAACUCCUGAGCUCAGGCAAUCUGCCUGCCUCAGCCUCCCAAAGUACUGGGAUUACAGGCAUGAGCCACCAUGCCUGGCCUGCUGUGCCCGAGUUCUAACCUUUAUAGUAAGUUGGUAAUCCUCAGUAAAAUGCUUUUCUGAGCUCUGUGUGUUCUGCCAAAUCACUGAACCUGAGGUGAGGGCCCUGAUUUGUAAUCAGUGGGAAGAGGCUCAAGUAGCCUGGGAGCCCCAUCUGCAGCUGGUGUCUGGAAUGAAGUCAGUUUGGUGGGACUCAGCCCUCAGCCUGUGGGGUCAACUGUAGCUAGUGUUAGAAUCAGACUGAACUCUAGGACACCCCAUUGGUAUCAGAUAAUCAGAGAAUUGCUGUUGGAAUUUUCAUGUGCGUCCGUGUGAAGAGGCCACCAAGCAGGCUUUGUGUGAGCAACAUGGCUGUUUAUUUCACCUGGGUGCAUGCGGCUGAGUCCGAAAAGACAGUCAGCGAAGGGAGAUAGGGGUGGGGCCAUUUUAUAGGAUUUGGGAAGGUAAUGGAAAAUUACAGUCAAAGGGGGUUGUUCUCUGGUGGGCAGGGGUGGAUCUCACAAAGUACAUUCUCAAGGGUGGGGAGAAUUACAAAGAACCUUCUUAAGGGUGGGGGAGAUUACAAAGUACAUUGAUCAGUUAGGGUGGGGCAGGAACAAAUCACAAUGCUGGAAUGUCAUCAGUUAAGGCUGUUUUUACUUCUUUUGUGGAUCUUCAGUUAAUUUAGGCCAUCUGGAUGUAUACGUGCAAGUCACAGGGGAUGCGAUGGCCUGGCCUGGGCUCAGAGGCCUGACAGGAAUGACACAUUGGGUGUCAGAAAAAAACCGCAGAAAACUCCCUAAGCAGAUUGGUUGAAAGCAGGCUGACUGCAUGUCAUCUGGGGGUGCGUCUCCCCCCAAGAGCAGGUUUCACAUCUCAUUCCCCGGUUGAUUGGACAAGACCCUUCCUGUCUUUAAGUUCUGUUUUCUUCCUCCCUUUGUCUCUGCGAAGAAAAUCAGCUGCAUGAAAACGAUCCUCUGGCAGAAAUUGGUGCUGUUGGAGCCGCACAGAGGUGCCCUCCCGUGCCCCCUGGCCCCCACCGGGCCGUGUCUCCUCCUGCCUGUUGCAAUCAGCCCUCGUCCGACUCUCUUUGGAAGUGAUUAAAACAUAACUGUCAUAGCUCUGGGGGAGACAGGCUGCAGAUCCUGAUUAUAAUUCAGAAGGAUCUAAAGAAAAAGUAAUUUAAAAAAAAAAUUCUGGUUAAAGCCAAAGCUCAUAAGACGUGUGUGAUGGAGUGGUAUGCAAGAGCACAAUUAAUGUAUGUCCUAGACAUCUGCCCACAGGAUUCAGGGCUGGCAAAUGAGUGCGUCCCUAAAAAUAAUGACUAGUGCUAUCUUUAAAAAGUCUUUUGUGGCAUAGCAGAUUAAGAUGGAUGGCCUGGGAAGUACAGUGGCAGCAUGUGCUGUGGUAUCCAGGAAUAAGUUGUACCUCCUCGGGGUGGCAGUGGAACUGGGCCGUGAACAGCUUUUGCUUCCCAGAGAGGACUGCCAUGGCCUGCUGCGUGGAAUUUGAUUUUAAUCUGUUUGUUAUUUUUGGGUUUGGUCUUGGACUGGGUUUGAAAUCCAGAUGUGACUUUUUUUUUCUUUUUUCAGUUUUCUUUAUAGCAGCAAUGUUGUAUCUUGUGUGUUUCCUAACAAGACUGAGCUCUGAGCAAGGCAGCCUCUGGAACCAAAUGUCUGCAGGCCCAGGAGACCUUUCUAGAAAGUUCAUAGGCGGUUCUGCAGUUUGAACCCCUUCUGUGGGUCUGUGCCUGCUUUAGCCGCUGGAGAUAUGGCAUUGAACAAAACACAGGCCCCGCCUGGGAGAAGCUGCCAGGCCAGCUGGGGAGACAGACCUGAUAAGUGAAAAUGAGAUCACGUGGCCUGCAUGCUCCGAAGAAGACUAAGGCAGGAAACAGGACUAUUUUCUCCCGACUGAAUUGUCCUGGUAUCCUUGUUAAUAUCAGUUGACUGUGACUUGAGACUUAUCUUGGACGCCCCUUUCUGUUCCGUGGGUCGGUGUCUGCCUUGAUGUCAGUCCCACAGUUUCGACAACUGGAGCUUUGUAGUCAGGUGUGAAACAGUGCAGUGUGGGUCCUCCAGUUUUGUUCAUCUUUUUCAGAUUGUUUUGGCAAUCCAGGAGUCCCUUGAAUUUACAUAUGCAUUUUAUUUUAUUUUAAUUAUUAAUAUUAUUAUUAUUUUUUAGAUGGAGUCUUGCUCUGUUGCUGGAGUGCAGUGGUGCAAUCUCGGCUCACUGCAACCUCUGCCUCCCAGGUUCCAGCGAUUCUCCUGCCUCAGCCUCUCGAGUAGCUGGAAUUACAGGCAUGCACCACCAUGCCCAGCUAAUUUUUGUAUUUUCAGUAGAGACAGGGUUUCACCAUGUUGGCCAGGCUGGUCUCAAUCUCCUGACCUUAAGUGAUCCACCAGCCUCGGCCUCCCAGAGUGCUGGGAUUACAGGCGUGAGCCAUUGCGCCCGGCCUAUAUAUGCAUUUAAGACCUGCUUGUCAAGUUCUUUAGAAGCCAUCUGGAUAGUGAUUAAUUUAUAAAAAUGAUACUUAUUAUCUUUUUGAACUGCCAAAGUAAUAUAUGCUGCUGAAAACCUGGAAGACAGAAAAAUCCAACAGAAGGCAGGGCUAAUUUUUUUUUUUUUCCAUGUAUGUCCCUUCAGGCUUCUCUGUGUUUUUCAUUUUUCCUACACAAAUUUGGAAUCAUUCCAGAGCUAGUAAGCAUCUAGGGCCACAUUUGGACUAGUACCUUGGGAUAAAUUAGAGCUGGAAUUGCCAGGUCAUAUAGUAUGCACAGGGCUAGGGACUGACUUAUUUUCCUUUCUGAAAGAAGACUCUGAGGUCUAGAGAGGUUAAAUGAGUGACUCGAGGUCACACAGCUAAAACUCUGGUGGAGCUGGGUCUUAAUGCAGACCCUACAUAUUCAUGCCAUGCUGUAUUUAUACAGGCAUGUACACCAGCGGGUUGGGAUUUUAGGGGGUGUUUUAAAAUUCUGCCUGCAAAACCUUUUUUUUUUUUUUUUUGAGACAGGGUCUUGCUCUGUUGCCCAGGCUGGAGUGCAGUGUCACCAUCACAGCUCACUGCAGCUUCCUCCCAGGCUCAAGCAAUCCUCCUGCCUCAGACCCCUGAGUAGCUGGGACUACAGGUGUGCACUGCCACACCUGGCUAAUUUUUAAUUUUUUUUGUAGAGAUGGGGUCUCAUUUUGUUGCCCAGGGUAGUCUCAAACUCCUGGGCUCAAACACUCAUCCUGCAUCAGCCUCCCAAAGUGCUAGGAUUGCAGGUGUGAGCCGCUGCCCCAGGCAAACCCAUUUUAAAGCCAUGAGCCAAAUAUUAUAAAAGACAUGCAAAAUAUUAUGAGUAGUCACUUAUCUAGUAUUUGCGGCAUCUCUCAGGCUUGGGGCUUUGCUGGGAGCUCUGAGGGGGUGGAAGAGGCUCUGUCACUGGCCUUACCUGGCUGUCAAGGGCUGAGUGUUUGGUGGAGGGAAGAGGUCUGCAGCCUGGGAGGCUGCGGGUCAGAAGGAGGUCAGCCGGGGAGCUGGGAGGAUCAUGGGGAACCCGUGGUGGAAAUCAGCAUGGCGAGAGAGUGGAAGCAGGCAGAGGAGGGCUUUGAAGACCAAAAAGGGUAGUUAGGAUUGCUGCUCUGUGUGUCUGUAAACUUGGUGUUGUCUCUCGAAUUUAAAUGACACACUUUGAAAACAAAAAAACAAACAAAAACCAAACCCAUAAAAUCUCACUAAGUGGCCAGAGCAAGUUCCCGGGGGGUGGCGCAUAGAUGCAGCGGUCCGGGUUAUGUGGCUGGGGGAGUUGGCUUGGGGUCCGUGGCUGGGUCAGUCUUCAAGAGCCACCCUGGGUGGCACUCCAGGUCUCUUGGUCUGGGGGGAAUACCCUGACCCCAGCGGUUUCACGGCCUCCUCCCCACUCAGCCUGGGGGAGAGUCCAGGGUUGGCCCUGUCCCCCUCCCCCCACUCCUGUCACUAUCAGUCCCCUGUGCUCAGCUCACUGGCAGGGUUCCUCCUGGCUGUCCCCUCUGCCUCCAGCGCUCUUUCCUCAGGUGUCCACGCAGCUCGUCCUCACCCUUUUCUGUCUCUGCUCAGAUGCCGCCUGAGGCUCCCAAAACAGGGUCUCACUCUGUCGCCCAGGGUGGAGUGCAGUGGUGCAAUCACAGCUCACUGCAUCCUUGACCUCCCAGGCUCAAGCGAUCCUCCUGCCAGCGAGCUUGUUACAAUUCCUGCACCAACACGGAUACAUUGUUACUAAGGCCCUGUACCAACACAGAUAGAUUGUUACUAACUAAGGCCCUACACCAGAACGGAUACAUUGUACAUUGUAACUAAAGCCCUGCACCAACACAGAUACAUUGUUACUAAGUAAGGCCCUGCACCAACACAGAUACAUUGUUACUAAGUAAGGCCCUGCACCAACACAGAUACAUUGUUACUAAGUAAGGCCCUGCACCAACACAGAUACAUUGUUACUAAGUAAGGCCCUGCACCAACACAGAUACAUUGUUACUAAGUAAGGCCCUGCACCAACACAGAUACAUUGUUACUAAGUAAGGCCCUGCACCAACACAGAUACAUUGUUACUAAGUAAGGCCCUGCACCAACACAGAUACAUUGUUACUAAGGCCCUGCACCAACACAGAUACAUUGUUACUAAGUAAGGCCCUGCACCAACACAGAUACAUUGUUACUAAGUAAGGCCCUGCACCAACACAGAUACAUUGUUACUAAGUAAGGCCCUGCACCAACACAGAUACAUUGUUACUAAGUAAGGCCCUACACCAACACAGAUACAUUGUUACUAAGUAAGGCCCUGCACCAACACAGAUACAUUGUUACUAAGUAAGGCCCUGCACCAACACAGAUACAUUGUUACUAAGUAAGGCCCUGCACCAGAACGGAUACAUUGUACAUUGUAAUUAAAGCCCUGCAGCAACACGGACACAUCGUUACUAACUAAGGCCCUGCACCAACACAGAUACAUUGUUACCAAGGCCCUGUACCAACACACAUACAUUGUUACUAAGGCCCUGCACCAACACAGAUACAUUGUUACUAAGUAAGGCCCUGCACCAACACAGAUACAUUGUUACUAAGGCCCUGCACCAACACAGAUACAUUGUUACUAGCUAAGGCCCUGCACCAACACAGAUACAUUGUUACUAACUAAGGCCCUGCACCAACACAGAUACAUUGUUACUAAGUAAGGCCCUGCACCAACACAGAUACAUUGUUACUAAGGCCCUGCACCAACACAGAUACAUUGUUACUAGCUAAGGCCCUGCACCAACACAGAUACAUUGUUACUAAUUAAGGCCCUACACCAGAACGGAUACAUUGUACAUUGUUACUAAAGCCCUGCACCGACACGAACACAUCGUUACUAACUAAGGCCCUGCACCAACACAGAUACAUUGUUACUAAGUAAGGCCCUGCACCAACACGGAUACAUCCCAUUACUAACUACGGAGGUGCUUUAUUCAGAUAUCCUCAGUGUCACCUGCUCUCCUUUGGCCGUCUCAGGGUUCCUCCCAGGACACCACAUUGCAUUCAGUCCUGAGGCUUCUCUGGGCUCUGACAGUUUCUCAGACUUUCCUUGUUUCUGUUGACCUUGACAGUUUUGAGGAGUACUGCUCAGAGAGUUUGUAGACUGUCCCUCUGUUGGGGUUUGUCUGAUGCUUUCUUC
rnacentral:sRNA from 1 species